CCUACGGGAGGCAGCAGUGGGGAAUAUUGCACAAUGGGGGAAACCCUGAUGCAGCGACGCCGCGUGAGUGAAGACGUAUUUCGGUAUUUAAAGCUCUAUCAGCCAGGAAGAAGACAGACGUUACCUGACUAAGAAGCCCCGGCUAACUACGUGCACCCAGCCGCGGUAAUACGUAGGGAGCAAGCGUUAUUCGGAUUUACUGGGUGUAAAGGGAGCGUAGACGGCUGUGCAAGUCUGAAGUGAAAGCCCAGGGCUCAACCCUGGGACUGCCUUGGAAACUGUGGAGCUAGAGUGCUGGAGGGGUAAGUGGAAUGCCUAGUGUAGCGGUGAAAUGCGUAGAUAUUAGGAGGAACACCAGUGGCGAAGGCGGCUUACUGGACAGUAACUGACGUUGAGGCUCGAAAGCGUGGGGAGUAAACAGGAUUAGAUACCCCUGUAGUC
rnacentral:rRNA from 1 species